AGGAUACUUAUAUGAACGCUGGGGCCAGGUGUUGUGAGUUGUUGCUGAUGACCGCGGAAGUGUUCUUAGUUCACAUGGUCCAAGCAAGAUGGGUUUUUUUUUGGAGCACACUAUUAAUUCAAAUAAUAUUCAUAACAGAUCAAUCAUUGUUGACUUUGCUCAUGAGGGAUUAUCAUCACUAUAAUAAAUGAAGAAAAUACACAAGAGCAGACUGAGGUUAAUUGGUACAACAUUGCAAGUGAUAAAACACAAAGUGGGGUACUGAAUAUUAUGGGGGAGGCCUAAGCAGCUGCUUGGGCCUGGUACGCACAUAAGGAUUUUUUAAAAGAUAUACAGACCCCAUACAUGAAGAUAACCCCCCCCCCCCAAAAAAAACAAAAAAACAGGCUUUUAACAGUGUUGGUGGUCCUGUGUGAUGUGCUCCGUUAAUAUCAUCACAGAACGCCACACAGAUAACGCUUCUGUUUGACCACUGAUCUCAAGUCUUGUCCGCCAAGACAGAAGUCUUGCAUGGGCAAACCUGAUGUAACAAAAACGAGGAAGAAGAAACACAAGCCGAUAUGUUGCGCUGAUGAUUGCGCCGAGUGUUGCAGAAGGGACCGGAGGGCUCAAAACACCGCCACGCAAGUUCCGAUUGGGGCCAUCCUUCCUGUGUGGAGUUUCCAUGUUCUCCCCGUGCCUGCAUGGGUUUUCUCCGAGCACUCCGGUUUCCUCCCACAUUCCAAAAACAUGCAUGGCUGGCGACCAGUUCAGGGUGUACUCCGCCUCUCGCCCGAAGAUAGCUGGGAUCGGCUCCAGCACGCCCGCGACCCUUGUGAGGAAAAGCGGAAUCGAAAAUGGAUGGAUGGUUAAUUGAUAUCGAUUAAUAUGAAGCGGCCUCUUCAAUGAAAGCCAAAAGCAGUGACAAUGCUCCACUCAUGCACUGAUCCUCUUCCACACAGAGAUGUCGCCGUCGAGACUGUCGUCGUGCCACAUUUAAAGUGAGGCAGGACAAUGGGAUGACACUUGAAGGGGGAGCAGCGUGGCGUGCUGGCCCGGAAGAGAGGGUGAUUAUGACUGGCAGGCCCGACGCCACAGAGAAGGACCGAGAAGGACGGCAAGCCCAAAGAACAAGCGCUGCACGAGUAAUGCGUGUCACAUCGAUGAGGCCACGCCAACACAAAUUGGGAUCAAGGUCAUCUGCGCGUCCUGUCUCCCACUGUUUUAUUUAGUCUUUAUCUGUUAGUCUUUUUCUCUAUAUAUCCUUUCUCAGCCUCCACAGCACUUCACACAUGACACGAUUCAUCUGUCAUCAACCUUGUCUUUAUUAUUCUUGGCCUCUUAACAUUUCAUAAUUUACUGUGGUUCUUUUAAAGGACUAAAGGACCCCUUCAAAAUAAGCACAGUGGAGUAUGAGACUGCUCUUGGUAUUUAAAUAAAGCAACACCGUCACAUUACUGAAGAAAUAACUGCAGCCUACUUUGUGUGCCUUUGUAUCCCGCAGAAAACCAUACUGUACAUAUACUGUAUAUGUAUUGUCGGUAUAAUAAAAAUAAAAGCUAGC